GACCAACGCUGGCGGCGUGCUUAACACAUGCAAGUCGAACGGAAAGGCCCUGCUUUUGUGGGGUGCUCGAGUGGCGAACGGGUGAGUAACACGUGAGUAACCUGCCCUUGAGUUUGGGAUAACUUCAGGAAACUGGGGCUAAUACCGGAUAGGAGCUCCUGCUGCAUGGUGGGGGUUGGAAAGUUUCGGCGGUUGGGGAUGGACUCGCGGCUUAUCAGCUUGUUGGUGGGGUAGUGGCUUACCAAGGCUUUGACGGGUAGCCGGCCUGAGAGGGUGACCGGCCACAUUGGGACUGAGAUACGGCCCAGACUCCUACGGGAGGCAGCAGUGGGGAAUAUUGCACAAUGGGCGGAAGCCUGAUGCAGCAACGCCGCGUGCGGGAUGACGGCCUUCGGGUUGUAAACCGCUUUCGCCUGUGACGAAGCGUGAGUGACGGUAAUGGGUAAAGAAGCACCGGCUAACUACGUG
rnacentral:rRNA from 1 species